rnacentral:rRNA from 1 species
UGGGGAAUAUUGGACAAUGGGCGCAAGCCUGAUCCAGCCAUGCCGCGUGAGUGAUGAAGGCCUUCGGGUUGUAAAGCUCUUUCGCCUGCGACGAUGGUGACGGUAGUGGGAGAAGAAGCCCCGGCUAACUUCGUGCCAGCAGCCGCGGUAAUACGAAGGGGGCUAGCGUUGUUCGGAGUUACUGGGCGUAAAGGGCGCGUAGGCGGCUGUCCAAGUCGGGUGUGAAAGCCCGGGGCUCAACCCCGGAAUAGCACUCGAGACUGGGCGGCUUGAGGACGGGAGAGGAUGGUGGAAUUCCCAGUGUAGAGGUGAAAUUCGUAGAUAUUGGGAAGAACACCGGUGGCGAAGGCGGCCAUCUGGACCGUUUCUGACGCUGAGGCGCGAAAGCGUGGGGGGCAAACAGGAUUAGAUACCCUGGUAGUCCACGCCGUAAACGAUGAGUGCUAGACGUUGGGGCGCGUAGCGCUUCGGUGUCGCAGCUAACGCAUUAAGCACUCCGCCUGGGGAGUACGGCCGCAAGG